rnacentral:rRNA from 1 species
UACGGAGGGGGCUAGCGUUAUUCGGAAUUAUUGGGCGUAAAGGGCGCGUAGGCGGCCCGGUAAGUCAAAGGUGAAAUCCCUCGGCUCAACUGAGGAACUGCCUUUGAAACUGUCGGGCUUGAGGACUGGAGAGGAGACUGGAAUUUACGGUGUAGCGGUGAAAUGCGUAGAUAUCGUAAGGAAGACCAGUGGCGAAGGCGGGUCUCUGGACAGUUCCUGACGCUGAGGCACGAAGGCCAGGGGAGCAAACGGG